rnacentral:misc_RNA from 1 species
UCCAAAAUUAGAGGCAAAUGUCAACGUGAUGUCAUAGGAGUCAUAAUCUGUUGUUGAUUUGUCUCAUUGCGCUUGCAAUAUAGCAUAGUCCUCUUAAUUGCCUAUAUCAUGAACAACUUCUUAAAACACAAUUUAUUUUCUCUCUGACACCACAGUGAAUCGCAGUGCUCCAUGACUUUCAAUUAUAAAUUUAUAAUUCCUAAAACCAACUCUUACUUCAAUUCAACUAACAAUUGAUAGUGGUGCAACAAUUAGACACAAGUAGAGAAAAAAAGAACAAUUAAAACUUUCUUUUUCCACAAUUACAAAGUCGUGGAGACACUUUUUGUUAGUCCAUCAAAUAAAAUAUAACACUCAAAUCUUCAAGUUCCAGUCGCUUCUACAAGUCAGAUAGGUUGAAAAAAAUUGAUUCCCACAGCAAUCUAGCGCAUCAACAGUCUACUGCAAUGGAGUUUCUAUCAUCCUCCUUUACAUUUACAGUACAAUCCACCA